rnacentral:rRNA from 1 species
AUUGAACGCUGGCGGCAGGCCUAACACAUGCAAGUCGAACGGUAACAGGAAGACGCUUGCUUCUUUGCUGACGAGUGGCGGACGGGUGAGUAAUGUCUGGGAAACUGCCUGAUGGAGGGGGAUAACUACUGGAAACGGUAGCUAAUACCGCAUAACGUCGCAAGACCAAAGAGGGGGACCUUCGGGCCUCUUGCCAUCGGAUGUGCCCAGAUGGGAUUAGCUAGUAGGUGGGGUAACGGCUCACCUAGGCGACGAUCCCUAGCUGGUCUGAGAGGAUGACCAGCCACACUGGAACUGAGACACGGUCCAGACUCCUACGGGAGGCAGCAGUGGGGAAUAUUGCACAAUGGGCGCAAGCCUGAUGCAGCCAUGCCGCGUGUAUGAAGAAGGCCUUCGGGUUGUAAAGUACUUUCAGCGGGGAGGAAGGGAGUAAAGUUAAUACCUUUGCUCAUUGACGUUACCCGCAGAAGAAGCGCCGGCUAACUCCGUG